rnacentral:rRNA from 1 species
AACGCUGGCGGCAUGCCUUACACAUGCAAGUCGAACGGCAGCACGGGUGCUUGCACCUGGUGGCGAGUGGCGAACGGGUGAGUAAUACAUCGGAACGUACCUUAUCGUGGGGGAUAACGCAGCGAAAGUUGCGCUAAUACCGCAUACGCCCUGAGGGGGAAAGCGGGGGACCGUAAGGCCUCGCGCGAUUAGAGCGGCCGAUGUCUGAUUAGCUUGUUGGUGAGGUAAAAGCUCACCAAGGCGAUGAUCAGUAGCUGGUCUGAGAGGACGAUCAGCCACACUGGGACUGAGACACGGCCCAGACUCCUACGGGAGGCAGCAGUGGGGAAUUUUGGACAAUGGGGGCAACCCUGAUCCAGCAAUGCCGCGUGAGUGAAGAAGGCCUUCGGGUUGUAAAGCUCUUUUGUCAGGGAAGAAACAGCAGCUCUAACACAGACUGCGAAUGACGGUACCUGAAGAAUAAGCACCGGCUAACUACGUGCCAGCAGCCGCGGUAAUACGUAGGGUGCGAGCGUUAAUCGGAAUUACUGGGCGUAAAGCGUGCGCAGGCGGUUAUACAAGACAGGCGUGAAAUCCCCGGGCUUAACCUGGGAAUGGCGUCUGUGACUGUAUAGCUAGAGUGUGUCAGAGGGGGGUGGAAUUCCACGUGUAGCAGUGAAAUGCGUAGAUAUGUGGAGGAACACCAAUGGCGAAGGCAGCCCC